rnacentral:tRNA from 1 species
AAGAGUAUAGCUCAGUUGGAGAGUGCAUGCUUAGCAUGCACAAGGUCCUGGGUUCAAUCCUCAGUACCCCUA